rnacentral:lncRNA from 1 species
UUUUUUUUUUUUGAAAUGUGAUGGGUACGUACUUGAACGUGCAUGGAUGGAUCAAUUUUUAAACGGGCCAAUCAAGGGCCAGUGCAUGGAUCAUAUGUGUUGUGCAUGUGUAUUAUGUCUCGUCUGUUAGUCAAUCAUCGCGUCCAAAGGCCUCCAGUUUGCUCCAAAGAGAGUUUGUUCUGAGCACUGGUCGUUUGGAAAGACCAUCUGAUUUCUUAAUGACCAUGUCGGAAAAACCAUCUUCAACCUUAACAAUACUCACGAAAAUGCUUCCCUUCGAAUUACUUCGACGGCCAUCUCCCAUAACUCCCACUGAAGCUACUAAGUGAGUGUGAUUAAUACUGAUAAAGAGCGGCAGCUAUAUACGGCAGACGACGUGUGACUUGUCGACGGUGGAGGCGAGGCCGGCAGCUGCGUCGGGGUUCGGCGCGCCGUCCAUGGCGAGCGGACGGUAGGGUUUUGGGAAAGGGAGGAAAAUGAGGGUGGAUGUGCCACCGACCGACGGCCAUGCGGAGAACAAGGGCGGGCGUCGCCCCCGUUCGCGUUGGACAAACCCGGCCCAAAUUUGGGCAAGAAAUAGGCCACAGACGUCCAUUUGCGUCGGCGCGUUUGGCCGACAUUUUCAUCCAUUUCUACCCAAACAGACAUCGCAGACAGUUUGCGUCGGCGCGUUGGAGUUGCUAUAAGAACCGCCACGGUUCCUGCCUCAACCUUGCAUGAGACGCGUCAGCGCAUGCUACUAUAUGGAUGCUGAAGACUGAAGACACCAGAUCCACCACACUCGCACAUCUUUGCUCUGACCCAUGAAGCCGAACUAGCGUGGUGUCGGGCCUCCGAGCCCUGCUGCCUGAGCUUCAUCACCCCCUCCCUCACGACCACAGGCAAGAACAUCCAUGCACUAGCGGCCCCCGAAGCCAUUGUCGACGCUGCCAAAUCCAUUGCACACACAUCGCCUCAGACCUCCACAUGCCAGACCACUGCGCUUGCCGAACCGCCACGACUCCAUGCACGUCUGCUUGAGNNNNNNNNNNNNNNNNNNNNNNNNNNNNNNNNNNNNNNNNNNNNNNNNNNNNNNNNNNNNNNNNNNNNNNNNNNNNNNNNNNNNNNNNNNNNNNNNNNNNNNNNNNNNNNNNNNNNNNNNNNNNCGGGAGCGACACACUCAUUUGCACGUAUCUUUUUAUUUUGCAAAAUUAUUUCCACAUAUCUUGACUUGCUCAUUAUGAAAGCACUCCCAUAAGUGUGCAAGCAUCAACUCGUAUACUUUGCUGAAACACCAAUGAAUUUUCCAAAUGAUUGCAAGCAAGCUGGGAAAAUGAUUAUUUUCUUCAUCAUUAUGUAAAAUACUUGUUAAAAAACAAGGUAUAAAGAGUUAAGGUGCAUUGUCUGAAUGUAAUUUUUUUGUUUAAUAUAAUGUGUUUGGUAAAAAAAACCUGGACACAUGCGUCAAGUGUGGCCUACCAUUGCGAAAUAGUAGAGACUUGUGACCACCUGUGUACCGAAUGUCAAACUGAACGGCAUGCGACCUACUUCCUGGAAUACUGGGAUCGUAGGUUGUCUGGGUAUUUUGUAAGCUCUCCUUCCCACGUUUCUCUAUAGCUAAGCACGCAUUAUCUCCACAUUUCUCUAUAACUAACCACGAAGUAGAAACAGAUGUACAUGCAGUUAGGGUCCAUAUGCCACCGUUGGCUAUCUUCGCCAUUCCUGCAUGUGUUUAAAAGGAUGUUUAUAUCCAGACGUGUAGAAAGAGAGUAAGCCAUCAAGGAGUACUUGGCCUGGUGCAUCGGGAGGCACCUACAGCCAGCUCAAAACCCUUCCACUUUAAUGCCUGAGAAGGGAACAACUAGAUGGAGUGUUACAAUCUCACUAAUAACUCUCGUUAGUUUUCAAACUCAUUUCCUUAUUAAAAUGCUAGACGCUCUACGCAUGUGCAUCAAAGGCCAAACUUCCUGGAAUCCUGGGAUCAGAAGUUGUCUGGUGUAUACUGGCAGCUCUCCUUUCCACGUUCGAAGCAGUAUAUGAGUGGGCCCGAGCAACUAUAGUCAAAACCACUAUGACCGAGAAGGUCCCGCAGCUGAACAGGGAGAGCUGAACGGCACGAGGAAGUUUGAGAAUCUACAGUCCUUUGAUAGAGCAAUGAAAGACGGCAAGAUACGUUUCCAUUUUACCCCCAGUGUGUCAUUUUUUUCUUUUUCCUUUUUUUGAGAAAGGAGGUUGAAACGGUGGCCUCUGCAUCGGUAGAUGCACACAACCAUAUUUAUUAAUUAUUAUUUCAUAAAGGUCUGAUAAGAAUAUACAUCAAACAAUCUGAAGCCAUAACUCACCCCUACAAACUUGAUAUGGAAAAAACAGCAAACAUAAUCCACGCCCGCGUCGUCGCUCCCGCGGUGGCUCGAGCGAAACCCUAGCCCGCCACUCCGCCGCUGCUCCAUCCAUCUCCCCCCCCCCCUCGCCGCCGCCGGAGGAGGCCGGCGGGCUAAGCCCGCGCGGCGGACGGCGGCAGGCAGUUCCUCGCGUCCCCGUGCGCGCAUCUGGUGAGGGAGGCUCCAGCCCUCAUCCUGCUCCCCGAUGGCAGGCAACUCCCCUGGCCCGGCUCGACGGCGCACCCCGGUUGCGUCAUCCGGCCUCUCUGGCUGCGCUCGGUUGUGGCAUGGGGUGGGCCACCUGGUUGCCUGGUGGGUGCUGCACGCCCAGUGGCGCGUUGGUGCGCCAGUGGUUGGUCCAUUGCGGGGCAGGUGCGAGCGACCGCCGGAUCCAGUCGGGCUCGCCGGAUCUGGCCUGCUGGCUUUUGGUUAGCGAUGAGGUGGUUUGUGGUGGUCCUCUGGUGCUGCUGGCAUGGUGGGGUGGGGGUGGUGUGCGGGCUAAUGGAGUUGCGAUGCGUGGAGUUGUGAUGUUGGGCGGUGCUCCGAGCGGCUUUGGCCGGCCGAUGGCGUCGGCAUCCGUGGGCGUCAUGUUACCUCCUUGGGGGCAUCGCCGUGGAGUGCACACCCUCAGAUCCAGCUCUUCAGGUGAAAGCCUAAGGCCCGGUCGGGUCGGGCAACGGCGUCGGCAUCGGCAUUGUCGCUUCCCUCUUUGGGGCAGGCCUUGAAGAGCAUUGGUUCCCGUUCGCGCUCUCCAUGUGCUAGACGUUCACAACACUGCGGUAGGUAGGUGCCCGGCUGGCAGUGUGGCAAUGCGGUGUCCAGUUUGGCAAUGAUGAUGAUGGCUAGCAGUGUAGGGUAGCGGCAGUGCUUCGGUUGUCGGUUCUUCUGGGUCUCUUCUGGGUCUCGCCGUGCCGUCGUGGAGUCGGAGCUACCCGGGAGGUGCCUAGGCGAUGACGAUGACAAGUGGCUGGUGGUCUUCGAGGAGGUGUUAGUUGGCGCCUACUCUGCCCAUCUCUCUUGUGUUUUGGUGGUCUUCUUAGUCGGAGUUGUCUGGCGCCUGCGUCGGUGGCCAACUGUUGGCAUGGGCUGGCAUGGGUUCCGGUGUUUGCGGUGACAAGGACUUCGUUGGUGGAAGUCGGUGGUGAAGUCGGAGUCGCUGGCUCGUGGAGGAGUGACGACGAUGACACUUGGUGAUGACCUUGACUUGGUGUUUCUUCUAUUCAGCAUAGUUGUAUCUUCGUGUGGGUGGCCAGGUCGGCCGGUGUUGCCCUGUGUGGGCUGUUGUGGCAGAUUCAACCUGUUUUUCCAUUAAUUAACCGGGCAACCCUCUUCCUGUCCGCGCCAACGCAAAUGAUGUCCAAAUUUGGGCCGGGAAUCUGUCGAUAGGCGAACAAAAAGCGGACGCACUCCCGUUUGGGUCGACGCGUUGGACCGACUUUUGUAUCCGUUUUGACCCAAAGGGACACACGCGGACGACAUGGGUCAGCGAGUCAAAGUUGCUUUAACUAUAUUUUACAUGCUUGUCUCUCAUGUAGAAGCGCCAUGAACAUGCAAUACCUUUUUAUUGGAUGAGAGUUUAAUAGAAUUGGCUAGUUAAACAUUGAGACACACAUGUGUUUGCUCAAUGGACAGUGUGACGCGGUCCUUCAAUUGCAGGUUAGGACGAGUAAAAGUAGUAGUAGAAAGUAGUGCCAGAGUACCAAAAUGGUAAUCUUACAAGUAGCAGACUGGAACUCUAAAGAUGACAGUGCACCUGCAGCCAACAUGAAAUAAUGGUCCUGCAGCGUCUUGUUCGUAUAUGGUCUUGGCAGUGCUGCAUAGCACAUGACACCUUUCUAGUACAUCCGUGGCCCUGUAAACAACUCCAUUUCCAGGCUAGUUUUGGGUAGAUUGAAGCAUCCUAAUAAUGUGGUGAUAUAUAUCAGUGGUGUGAUGAUUAGGCUUGCUAGGCUGGAGCAUCCUGGUGUGGUUCUAAAUCAGUGACGUAAUGGUUGAUUUGUUGCCCUGUAAACAGCUGAAAAUGGGGCCAUGUGGCCCCUUUGAUAAAAAAAACAUAUGUGGCAAAAGCAGUGCACUGGUUCUCUUGUUUUCUUUUUAGCACACACGGUUGUGCAUGAAUAGUGGACCAUAGCGCUAUCACUGGCUUGCAUGUGUAUCUUGUAAGGGUAAUCUAUUCAUGGAGACAGUUGAAUAAUUUAGAUGUAAAUUCUAGAAUUACAAUGAAUAAAACGAGAAAGAAAGAGUAGAAAAUUUGCAUCUUGCUUGCAACACAAAACCACCUCUCCAUUAUCGCAUGCUCGUUUUGUUCCCUCUCUGAAGGAAGCGGUGCUACCCUCUAGUUUCUUGCGUCGGCCGGAUCUGACAUGCAGUACAUUAGUGUUUCAUGUGCCUCCUUGUUAAGUCCAUCAGCCACGUUUGCGGCGAGAUUUGCCUAGCUAGAACCGAACGAUGUUUAGUGCGACACAGAUUGGAGAACACUUGUAACAAGAAAGUCUUCAGGCGUGCCCUGAUUUUAUGGAAUAGAACAGCUAGAACCUAACAUGUCAGUAGAUGCUAGCGUUGAUGUACAACCUAUGGGCACUAGUUGAACUUAGUACGUUGGUAAUGUUCAGGUCCAUCAGUCCAUGUACUGUCGCACAGAAGUGGCAAAGAACGGAGACUCGGUAGUCGUCAGUCCAUACAAGCUCAGAGAGUCAGAGUCAACGAGUAGAGAAAGGACACUUGCAAAAAUGAAAACGAGCUAAGAAAGGGAAGAAGUAAACAAAAGCAAUGAUAGACAGUGUACUAGCUUGUUCAAUGGCAUUAGCGAAAAACUGAGAGCUCCAAUGAUGGACCUGAAACAUUUUUGUGUUUGGCGGGUGUGAGUAAUAAGCACGCGAAAUGACGAAUUAAUUGCUAGUGCACGCGAAAUGAUUAAACCUGAGUUGGCCCGCAAUCGCCCCAGUUUGAGUUUGUAUCAGACAUGAUGAAGGGCCGUUCUCUAACUCAGUGUUUAGGGGUUGGACAGUCAUCAAAAUCAUCACAAAAAAUGGAAAACGACUCGGAAACGAAAGCACAAAAAACCGACACUCACAUUAUCCUUGGAUGAUAGAACACUUCCAGCACGUCAUCAAACAGCAUGUUGGUGUCGUUCUGCAUUGAUACUGAGCGCUCGUCGGCGUCCACAACCGGGUCUCUCCGAGGCAUCGCCGUUUGCCUAGCCUGUUAUAGCAUAAUCUUGAUUAAUCUCAUAUUAGUUAGUUUGCAUGUGCUAGCUGAGUACGUGUGUUAGUACUACUUUGUGUCCGCUCAGAGUCAUGCACAACCUAUGCGUGCAUGUAGGAACAAAUGGAGUACUCUACAGUAGGAGAAGCAAAAGGUCCCGAACCUAGCAUGAGAUAGAAUGAAACCUUUGAGAGUAAAACCUACUAAAAAAGUAUAGAUGUAUGGAACCUUUCAAAGCUAGCAACGAAACAAAACCACACAAUAGCCUUCUCGAAAUAGAACAUGCUAGCUGACAGGUGCUGUAAAGGAGCUGCCCCCAUUCCACGAAUAACUCUUGCCUUUUCAGAACCUAGCUUGCCAUUUCCAUCCACAGCCCAAAAAGAGCCCCACAUGUUUUUCCUCUUCUGUAAAUGUGAUCUCCAAUAAUGCAAGUUCGGAUCUUGAUGCAAACCAAAGGUUCCGAUAGCACACUCUGGUGCUAGUGUAGAUAGGAAAGCUGUUCCCUAUAUAUAUAUACACACACACACACAUCUGGGCUAUUUUGUUUCGUGUAACACAAUAUUAUUAUUCUGUUACUCUACUUGAACUGACGGUUUCAAGCGGUUGUACUGAUGAUUUUCAUCUUGUCGAACUGAUCGUCCUCUCUAGUUCAAAAAAAAUUGUGAAUUUUUUCGUCGGAAUGGGGCGUGUAAUAUAUUGUUGGAAAGCUCUUGACAGCUACAUUACACUCAUAUAGGAUUUUUUUGCAAAAUCAUCAUGGUUUAAGAGCAGUUUUGAAAAAACCGUUUUUUUUCAAACCCGAAAAUGUGAAUCGUAUUUUGGACUUAAUUUUCAAACGGUUUGUCGGAAUUGAACAAAUAAGAUGGCGUUGGAAAGCUGGUAAAAUCUGCAUCUUCCAUAUAUCUACUGUUUUUUAAAAUUCUAUAAGGUUUAAACGUAGUUUGAAAAACGGUGAAAUUCUAGGCGAAACGUAUUUUUGCUUUUUUUGCAAACGGUUUGUCGGAUUGACGCAAAUGAUACGGUGUUGGAAAGCUAUGGAAAAUGCACAACUUUUUCGUAUUGAAAUGUUUUUCUAAUUCCUUACAGUUUAAACUCGAAUUCGAAUACGGUCAAAUUUGAUUUCGUACGCGUUUUUUUUAGUUUGUCGAAAUGGGGCAAAUAAUAUACCGUUAGAAAGCUAUCAAAUAUGCGAAACUUAAUCAUGUUGGACGGUUUCGCAAAUUCGUAAUUGUUUAAGAGUAAUUUUGAAUACGGUGAGUGUUGAGGAUAUAACCAUUAGAGUCACCAGCCCAGGAGGGGCCGGGUUACGUUAUAAUGAUCAUCACGUGAAGCCCAGUACCAGGCUAGAGGAUGGCGGAUCAAUAGUGGGCUUAAGACCCGGAGGCGGCUUAAGGCCCGUAGUGAUAAACCGCCGUUAUGACAAGACUUGUAAUGUAAGGCAAGAGUAGUUAAGAGUCCGAGCCGGAUACUGUUAUAAGCCGGCCGGGACUCUGAGAGCCGCGGGGCGUCAACCUCUCUAUAUAAAGGGACGACCCGGCGGCGGUUCAGGACGAGAGACAACAGAUCGAGAGCCGGGCAUAGCGAUUAAGCUCCCUGGUCAUCAAAACCCUAAGUAAUACCACCUCAACUGGACGUAGGCUUUUACCUUCACCGUAAGGGGACGAACUAGCAUAACCCUCGUGUUCCUUGUCCCGUUUAACCCCUUUAAGCUUCCUAGCUGCGAUGGCUCCACGACUAAGUCCUUGCACGAGGACAUCUGCCGUGACAAUUCCACGACAGUUGGCGCCCACCGUGGGGCCAGCGCACGGUGGAUUUGAAUUCUUGAAGGGCAGCUUCGAAGGGCUCAAGGGAUACGCUGUGGGCCGGAUGACCAAGAGUCGUCGCGGCAAGCUCUACAUCGACGAUGCAAAUUGGGGCCCCGACGCCGGCUCAAUUGAGUACGGGUACCGGGUCCCCUUCGGCGGAAUCCAUGUCUUUAUUGGCAAGAUUGGUGAGCCGGGCCCUGAGCCGGACCUCUGCGCCGAUCUCAUCGAGACGGCUCAACGUGCACGACCCGCCCGGACUUUGCCUGCCUUGAAGCGUGCUUUCGUGGGAUGCGUCCAUGGAGAGCUCUCUGAAGGAUCUGGAUCUGGUGAUGAGACGGCUGCUCGCUCUGACGGCGAGUCAUCCACAGAAGAGACCGAUUCAUUAUACCAACUUCAAGAUGGCAGGCUCAGGGGGUGUUCCGAUGGCGACAGUAUUCCGGACCCCUUUGAGCCGCCGAGCUGGGUUGGAAUCUUCAUGGCUGGCGCACAACCUAUUCAAAACCCCACCGCCGGGGCAGGAAGCCCUGUGCCCUCGCCGGCUCAGGUGCUGAUGGAUCUCACAAACAAGAUGAAGGUCCUGUUAACCGCUACGGUCGCCCCGGCGGAUCAAGCUCAGCAUGACGCGGAGGUGGCACAGUUAAAGCUCGAUCUAGCAAAGGCCAAGGAGGAUCUGGCGGCGGAAGGGAUCAGGAUGGCUGCAGAGAGGGCGGCUCUCGACGCCCAGACUCAGCUGAUUUAAGCGCAGUCUUUCCAGCUCACGAUGGAUCAGAACGCGUCCAAUGAGAUCAUGAGAAGGAGGCAUCAAAAGGCUCAAUCUCGACUCCCUCCGGUUUAGGAUCCUCAAAACCUCUUCAACACGCCUGGUGCAGGGCCCAGUAACCCGCCAGAGAUCACGGCACCCGGAGCUGGAACGCCGAUUCAGCCUCAAGUGAUGGGGCCUCCCCGGGUGAACACUACCCCGCCUCAGUACGUGCCAAUACCACCGGGUCAUUACGCCAACCCGUUGGAAAACAUGGUCGCCGCGGCGGCGCGACUGGCGGCUCUCCCAAUCGAUGGCGACUCUCCAACAGCGGUCGAAACCCGUCGGGUCAGAGAGCUCCUUUAGACGGCUCUGGCGCAACAGGAGGCAUAUUCUUAUAGCCGGGACAGGAUUCAUUCAACCCCUCGUCCAGGCCGGAGCCCGAGUUAUAGCAGGCACAUGGUCUCAGCGACCGGCUCAAGCAAUGUCCGACGCCGUGACUUGCCUCCUGGCCACGGCCCGGUUCAAAAUGAAGCUUUUAACGCGGUGGACCAAGACAGAGCACGGCAAGAGGCGGAGCGGGCGGCUCAGUUGACGGCUUACCACCCACUCCCGGCUUAUCUGACGGCUUCCCUCGAUGCGGGUAUACCUACGAGGACCGGAGGUGUUCCUUGUCUGGUGCCAGCUCUCCGUAAUGAACGUCUGCCCAAGGAUUUCAAGGGGCCUAGGAAGGUACCUAAUUACACGGCUGAUUUACAACCCGGAGCAUGGAUCGAGAGUUACGAGAUGGCUAUGGAGUUGCUGGAGGUCAGUGAAGCGGCAAUGGCCAAGUACUUCACCAUGAUGCUAGAUGGGACUGCCCGCACUUGGUUGAAAGGACUGCCACCGAACUCUAUCGGGUCUUGGGCUGAACUAAAGGCCCGGUUCAUCCAAAACUUUAAAGAUACCUGUAGGCAGUCUAUGUCAAUUGUGGAUUUGACUAACUGUAAGCAGCAGGAGGGUGAGUCUACAACCUAUUGGGUUCGCCGGGUCAAAGAGAUAAUACAUUCAUCUGAUAAGAUGGAUGCCGGCUCUGCAGUCUUAAUGUUAGAGCAGAAUUGUCGCUUUGUGCCCUUGAAGAUGAAGCUCGGGCGGCUCAAGCGCGAUUGCAAUGAUAUGGGUACGCUGAUGGCGGCUCUGGUUAAGUACGCCGACUCUGAUAGUACCAAGGAUCCCACGUCGGAUGAUGAAAGGACAGGGAAGGGAAAACGGAAUGGCAAUGGUAAGGGCCCCCAGCAUAACCCGGCAAACCAGGGAGGUAACAAGCGUAAGGCUGAUGGCAGUAUGGAGUUUGUGGCCAACGCCAGUUCACAGGGUAACAACCACCGGCGCAAGGGGAGACCACCUCCCCGUGCCGGCGGGUCAGGCCCGACGCUUGAGCAGUUGUUGAAUGAGCCUUGUCCAAGGCAUGGCUCUAGGGAAAAGCCGGCCACUCAUCUGUGUAAGGACUGUGCAAUCAUGAAGGCCUUUAAAAAUUCCAGUGCUUUCAAUGGCAACAGUGGCCCGGGCGGCGGCUCGGGCGCUGGCGGCUUUCAUGGCCCGGGCGGCGGUUCAAAUUCCAAUUCUCAGAAUGUUCAAGGGGGCUUUAAUCAGCAGUCCGGCCAGGGUCAUCAGCAGCAGCAGCAGGGGGGAUACCAGACCAAUCCAAAGCAGCUCAAUGGUGGACAGUAUCAUGUGUUUACCACCAGUCUGUGCAAGCGAGAUCAGAAACUUCAUAAAAGGGUUGUGAAUGCCGUUGAGCCGGCGGUUCCACGCUAUUUAAGAUGGUCUGAGCAGCCUAUUGUGUGGAGUAGGGAAGAUCACCCUCCCUGGGUUGAUAAUCCGGGUCACCUGGCCUUGGAGGUGGCUCCUCAGGUGGGGGGAUAUAAAUUCACUAAAGUGCUCAUGGACGGAGGCAGCAGCAUCAACAUCCUCUAUUAUGAGACCUUCCGUCGUAUGGGGUUGAUUGAUAAGAACCUCAGCCAGUCCAAUACUGUUUUCCAUGGUGUGGUGCCUGGUAAGUCGGCAUAUCCAGUUGGUAAGAUCGAGCUGGAAGUGGCUUUUGGAGAUGAGUACAACUACAGGGCGGAAAAAUUAACCUUUGAGGUGGUUAAGAUAAGAAGUCCGUAUCAUGCUUUAUUUGGGCGGCCGGCUUACGCCAAGUUCAUGGCGCGGCCGUGUUACGUGUAUUUGCAGCUCAAGAUGCCGGGUCACAAUGGGACCAUUACGGUUCACGGCAGCCGGAAGAUAGCCUUGGAGUGUGAGGAAGGUGACGCGGCUUACGCUGAAUCUGUUUGUGCAACAGAGGAGUUGAAGUUUUACAAGGACAAUGUUGACCCGGCAGAUAUGACGUCUUUGAAAAAGCCAACCACGGAGCAUGAGCCGGCAAUGAAAUUUAAGUCAGCUGAUGAGACUAAACUUGUUGACUUUGUUCCAGGUGACUCAUCUCAGCAGUUCAGCAUCAGUGCCAAUCUGGAUCCGAAAUAGGAAGGCGCUCUCAUCGAGUUCAUCCGUGAGAACAAGGACAUUUUUCCAUGGAAACCUUCUGACAUGCCAGGUGUACCUAGAGAACUCGCUGAGCACACUCUCAAUAUUGAUCCAAAAUUUAAGCCGGUCAGGCAAUUCCUUCGGCGGUUUAAUGAGGAGAGGCGGAAAGCCAUUGGUGAAGAGGUGGCGGCUCUUGGCGGCCGGGUUUAUUGUUGAAGUUUUUAUCCAGAAUGGUUAGCUAACCCGGUGCUCGUGCUCAAGAAAAACGGCACCUGGCGGAUGUGUGUGGACUACAAGGAUUUAAACAAAGCUUGUCCGACUGAUCCUUUUGCUCUCCCCCGUAUUGAUCAAAUUAUUGAUGCUACGGCGGGUUGUGAGCGCUUAAGUUUUUUGGAUGCUUAUUCUGGAUACCAUCAGAUUAAAAUGGCAGUUAAGGACCAGGAGAAGACGGCGUUCAUCACUCCCUUUGGAGCCUUCUGUUAUGUGUGUAUGCCUUUUGGGCUCAAGAGUGCACAGGCGACUUACCAGCGUUGUGUGCAGAAUUGUCUUCAUAACCAGAUUGGGCGCAAUGUUCAUGCCUAUGUGGAUGAUAUCAUGGUUAAAUCCAGGGAGAAGGAGACCCUGGUAGAUGAUCUUAGAGAAACCUUUGAUAAUCUCCGGGUUUACAAGAUGAUGCUUAACCCGGCCAAGUGUGUUUUUGGUGUUCCCGCAGGCAAGCUCUUGGGUUUUCUGGUUUCUCACAGAGGCAUUGAAGCUAACCCGAAAAAGAUCAAGGCAAUUACCUCUCUGGCUAAGCCGGCGUGCAUAAACGACGUCCAGCGUCUGGCGGACCGCAUCGCUGCUUUGAGCCGGUUUAUAAGCCGUUUGGGUGAAAAGGCCAUGCCACUGUACCAGUUGAUGAAGAAAACAGAUGACUUUAUCUGGAAUGAUGCUGCUAAUGCUGCUUUUGAGGAUUUGAAGAGACAGCUGGCUGAGCCCCCAGUCCUUGCUGCUCCUGUUGACAAGGAGCCCUUAUUGCUGUAUGUAGCCGCUAACACACGGGCCAUCAGUGUGGCUGUGGUGGUGGAGCGUAAGGAAGAGGGUAAGGAGUAUCCGGUUCAGCGGCCGGUUUACUAUGUCAGCGAAGUACUCAUUGAGUCCAAACAGCGGUAUCCACAUUGGCAGAAGCUUGUUUAUGGGGUAUUCAUGGCAAGCCGGAAGCUUAAGCACUAUUUCCAGGGUCACCCUAUCACUGUGGUUAGUUCUGCUCCCCUAGGAGAUAUCAUUCAAAACAGAGAAGCCACGGGAAGAGUGGCUAAGUGGGCUAUAGAACUUGGGCCUCAUGGUCUAAAAUACGUGCCACGCACGGCUAUCAAAUCUCAAGCAUUGGUGGAUUUCAUCAACGAUUGGACAGAGCUGCAGGUGCCUGAAGAGAAACCGGAUAAUACAUACUGGACUAUUCACUUCGACGGGUCUAGGCAAUUGGAGGGCUCGGGGGCUGGAGUUGUAUUAACUUCCCCUCGAGGUGACAAGUUUUGCUAUGUGCUACGGUUGAUGUUUCCCUAUACCAACAAUGCGGCUGAGUACGAGGCCUUGCUCCAUGGUCUUCGGAUGGCUAAGGAGAUGAGCUUGAGCCGGGUUAGGUGCUUUGGCGACUCAGAUUUAGUGGCUCAACAAGUGUCAGGCAAGUGGGAUUCCAAGGACCCUCUCAUGGCGGCUUAUCGCCGCGAAGUUGAUGCCAUUGCUGGACACUUUCAGGGUUACCAAGUAGAGCACAUCGAUCACAGGAAGAACGAGGCGGCUGAUGCAUUAAGCCGGCUGGGCUCUCAGCGAAAGCCGGUGCCGCCUAAUACUUUCUUGGACAUUUUGCAUAACCCUUCUGUUAAGUUGCCUACAGAGGAAGACCUGGCUGUCCUUGACCCGGAGGCAUAGUUGGUGGAGGCUCUCCACAUCACCCCAGACUGGACAGUACCAUACUUGGCUUACAUGACCCGGGGAGAAUUGCCUGAGGAUGAAACUUUGGCCAGACAAAUAACCCAGCGGUCUAAGUCAAUGAUAAUUAUCAAUGGUGAGCUGCAUCGUCGCAGUGUCACUGGAACUUUCCAGCGUUGUGUUUCCCCUGAGGAAGGUCAAGAAAUUUUACGUGAAAUUCACGAGGGGGAUUGUGGCCAUCAUGCCGGCUCAAAGUCCCUUGUGGCCAAGGCUUUUCGUCAUGGUUUCUAUUGGCUGACGGCUCAUGCUGAUGCAGAGGAUUUGGUCAGUAAAUGUGAUGGUUGCCAGAGGUUCUCGCGACGGGCUCAUGUGCCGGCUCAAGAAUUAAGGAUGAUUCCAAUUACUUGGCCAUUUGCGGUCUGGGGGCUUGAUAUGGUUGGGCCUUUUAAAAGGUCCAAGGAUAAGAAGACCCACCUCUUGGUGGCGGUUGACAAGUUCACAAAGUGGGUUGAGGCAGAGCCAGUUAGCAAGUGUGACGCGGCCACAGCGGUUCAGUUCAUGAAAAGGGUGAUAUUUCGCUUUGGUUUUCCACACAGCAUUAUAACUGACAAUGGUACCAAUCUGUCUAAGGGCGCCAUGGAGGAGUUUUGUCAACGGGAACAUAUCCGGCUUGAUGUUUCAUCAGUGGCUCACCCUCAGUCCAAUGGUCAAGCUGAGAGAGCCAAUCAGGAAAUCUUGAAGGGCAUCAAGCCCCGGCUUUUGGUCCCUUUGCAACGGACGCCGGGUUGUUGGGUGGAGGAGUUACCCUCCGUGUUAUGGAGCAUCAAUACUACUCCUAACAGGUCUACGGGUUACACGCCUUUCUUCAUGGUUUAUGGAGCGGAGGCGGUCCUCCCAAGCGACAUUCGGCAUGACUCGCCUCGAGUGGCGGCUUAUGUUGAGGCGGAUAAUGAGCGGGCGCGCCAAGAUGCUCUUGACUUGUUGGAUGAACAGCGUGACGUGGCAGCGGCUCGCUCAGCGAUUUACCAACAAGACCUGCGCCGCUAUCACAGCCGUCGGGUUAAGUCCAGAGUCUUCCAGGAAGGUGAUUUGGUGCUCCGGCUCAUCCAAGAUCAAACAGAUGCACACAAGUUGUCCCCGCCUUGGGAAGGGCCCUUUGUGGUCAGCAAGAACUUGCACAACGGGUCAUACUACCUUAUCGAUGUUCGGGAGCACAAAGAUUCACGUAAGUCGGAGGAAGAGACCCGUCGGCCGUGGAACAUAGCUCAGCUUCGGCCUUAUUACACUUGAGCCACCGGCUCUCAUAAUGUACAUAUAGCCAUGUAUAUAUUAUGAUAAAUAAUAAAGCAGGACCUCUGUCCUUCUCUCCUCCAAAGGCAAAUGUGUUAUUUUUAUUUCUAUUACAACAUUACAUGGUCACUUGGAGGGUGAUCCGGCUUAUGAUCGUAUUCGAAUCUAGCCGUUAACAAUAUGAUCACUUGGGGGCUUCCUGUUCAAACAUAGGUCGUAUUCGAACCAAAGAGAACAUAGUUGUCGAUACCCACUUGAUUGGCAAAUUGCCGAGCUCAUUGGGGAGUUUUUCUUGAUCAUAUUUGAAUCAUAGCUCGACCCCCUUUGGGAACCGACGUGGAUCGUAUUCGAAUCAGCGUCGUUAAACAACUCUCAAGGUCAUUUGGGGGCUUCCUGUUCAAACAUAGGUCGUAUUCGAACCAAAGAGAACAUAGCUGUCGGUACCCUCUUGAUCGGCAACGCCAAAGCCACUGGGGGCUAUAUGAUCGCAUUCGAAUAUUAGCUUAACCCCUUUGGGACGGUUCUCUGGUCGUAUUCGAAUCAGAAGCCCCUAAGUUUUGAUCUUUUGGUUUGCAACAAGUUCUUUUGAUCAUAUCAACAGUGUGCAAGGGCGGUUCUUACCCCGCCGGCUUAACUUUGAUUAACAAUAUUGAUAGCACACAAUAAGCAUUAUCGAUGCUGGUGAACCGGAGUUGAUUUCUCAACCUCAUUAUUUGGGUUACAUAAACCGGAAGUAUACUUGAAGGCUUGUAAGUAUGUUAUUAUGGUUACCUCGAGGAUACAAUUGAGGGCCAGUCUUUGGUGACUUUGGUUCAUAUUCCGGGUUAUAUGUAAAGUAUAUGACUCUCAGUGCGGUAAGCCGCCCAGAGACUUGUGAUUUGUUUUCUAUGCGGGACAAUUAAAGACAGCUCUUUAACUUAAGGAAAGUAGAUGAUCGAACAUAACCCGGACGAAUAUAAAGGAGCAGCUUCAAUGGAGUUAAGCAUUCUACACGUGCACGAUGGCACGACAAAAUUAAGUGUUUGUCCUACUCUAUUACAAAACUCCCCGAGUCCAAAAGGUGAGGCAUUGUUUUUAAGGUGUGACCAUGAGCCGCCUAAGAAAUCAAGGUGCUUGUUGGGUUGAAGCUCCCGGCUCAUCCCUCUCCGCUCCUCCGGCUGUUCCCAUGACCUAGAAGGUUGAUGAUUUCCAGUCAAUGCCGCUCAAAGCUUCAAAUUGAGCCUCAUCAUCAAUUAACCCGGCCGGGUCAACUUCUGGGGGCGAAGGUAUGCUUACGAGUCGGCGGGAUUAGGCUGACUGCUUCAUAGCGUGGAGUUGGGAUCCUCUGAUUCUCCGCGUCAUAGCUCGGCUGAUACUUGGUAAGAUCUGUGUCAUUUCCAAUCAAGGUAGCCACCGGGCGCACGCUCUUCACACAGGCGGCGAAGUCUUUCUGGUCAAAGGGGGUGCCAUCUUCCUUCAGGCUGGGGUAUCCAAGAGCGAUGUCGGCCGGGUCUAGCUCCGGGAGAAAAGCCUUGGCCCGGCUCAGAGCAGCUAUAGCUCCGGCUCUUGCAGAAGCCCGUCUCAGCUCUUGGAAGCGUUCAGGAAGAACGGCAAGCCGCCUGAGUACGUCUGCCAGGUGAGUCGGAACCUCAUUGGACAGAGCCACAACGGCUAAAGCACGCUGUGACCCGGUGUAGAGUUGCUCCACCAAGGUGUAAACAGCCUUCAGCUUGGUCAGCGCGUUCUUAUUAAGAUUGGAGCUUCUGGGACCUGCAUAAUAACGUCAAGUGAGCUGAUGGCAAUGGUGGGACUUAUGAGACAUGAAGAAUGUAAACUUGUUAAAAGCUUACAGAAUAACUUACCGAAGAUGGCGGAGACCAUCUGUGACACAUGGUGUUUCAAGCCGGAGAGUUCGGCGGUUCUUUCAGUAAGGGCAGCCUCCGCUUGUUCAGCCCGGCUGAGCAAGGCAGUCUUCUCGUCGGCCCAAGUUUUUCUUUCUGUUUCAAAUUUUUUCUUCAGUUUUUCUUGUGCAGCAACACUGAACUUAAAUUUGGCAUUGGCCUUCCGGGUCUCAGUUUCCUGAGUCUUCAGACGGUUCUUCAUCUCAGAGAUUUCCGAUUCAAAAUUCUUGCAGGCAGCCUGUACAAAUUCCGGGUUACAGUUUGAGUGAUUGUCAUGCAACAUUAAAGUCCCAAGCACUUUGCAAGCCAAGACACUUGGCACUUGGGGGCUAAUGUAUGCUGAAAGAUUCUAUUUAUAAGUGCCGGUUCAUGAAGGUAAGCCGGAAUUAAGUCUACAACAUAUUCUAUCAUAAGUAAUAGACUUGGGGGGCUAGCAUGGUAAGGAUGACUAUGGAGUAAGCAAGAGAGUUGUACCUCAGAUUUUUGCUGUAUCUGCUUCACCAUGUCAAUCUCUAGGUCCCGGCUGUUGUGCACUUGACCAAUAUAACUAGAAACAAUGUCUCCAAUGCUCAAGUUAGCAUAGUCAGUGAUAUCCAGUCUGGCCCUGCGGCGCUCCAGCGGUUCUUCUUUAGCAGAGCAUCUGGCCAGCACAGUGGGUCUUCCCGGCUCAACGUAUUCGGUCUGGGUAAUCACCACAUCCGGGUCAUCGGCCGGUUGAGCUGAGCUGGGGAUCUCCGGGUUGUCAGAACUCUCCAUGGCUUGUUGUUCAGUUGGAGCGGUGGUUUCUGGAGCUGGUGCAGACGGCGGCUCAGAAGCAGAGGCGUUGGGUUCAGUUAAGUCUGGCUCUUCGACCGGUUUACUUUUCUUUGCCCUCUUGCUGAGCUUUGCUUGUGCACUGAAAGUCAAAAGGUUAGUGUAAAAAACAUAAAUAAGAUAAGCACAAAAUGAGAUGAUCAUCAUUACCCGGGUGCAGUCUUGAAAGCUGGCAAGUUAGAUUGCAUGGAUUCACUGGAGGAAGGUGAAGUUUCCUGAUAGUUUGAAUCAGAAGAAUUGAGUGGUUGGCGAGUGAUGCCCGCCAAAGGAUGAAAAGGAUAUAAGUUGGAUAUAACCUCGGUCCGGCGCUUCCUUGAUGCUUCGGGUAAGCCGGAGGAGAGGUCUGCAUCCUUGCUGGCCCGGAUUUGCCUCCGGCUCUCAUGAAUCUGUUGCUUCAAAAGAAAUUGAGGAUCUUGAUAAGCUAAAGGAUGGGAAAAUCUUACUUUCCGGGUUACUCUUCGGACUUUCAGCCUUGGAAAGGGGUCCGAGUCGGAGGAAAGUAUAGUUACCUCUUCUAUCACCGGGUUACUCGCUCCGGUAUCCUCCUGCUGAUAAUCAAUGUCAAUAAGGUGGUUAAGAACAAACAAAAACAAGAGAAGAGCAUAAGAAUGAAGGGUUACCUCUGACUCGGAGGUGUCAUCCAGCUGAAGCAGGUCUGAGGCGCUAGGCUUACUCCCCUUCUUGCAGGGAGCGGCUCUCCUGGCGGCUUUCUUAACCUUCUUGGCUUUUUUAGCAGCCUCAUGAUCAUACUUGACCUUCCAGAACUUAUCAUUAGCCUGAAAAAUACAACAAAGGUUUCUUGAGGUUAAGAUGAAAAUGGUUAAAAUGGAAAGUAAGGUGCUCAGGUCAGUAGCUUACCGCCGGAGCCGGGUUAGCUUUGCAGAAGGGACUUAAGUCUGUCCUCCCGCAGUCUGCUAAGCUCUCGUUCAGAAGGGACUUGGUCAUGUCGUCAACAACGUCCUCAGAUAGGUCGUUGGGGCUGUGCCGCAGAGGAUCAUCCUUCCGGCCCGUGUAAUCACACAUUAAGCCGGGGCGGCGGCUCAAGGGAAUCACCCGCCAAGCAAUCCAGACCCGGACCAGAUCAACACCGUUAAGACCGUUUCCCAGAAGAGCUUUAAUCUUGUUGAUGGUGGGGAUAAGCGGUUGUCGCUCAGCUUGAGAUAAUUUGUCUGGCAGGGGUGAUUUGACUCCAAACGCAGGGCGCGAAAGCCGGGCAGAGGGUCUUCAUCAGCCGGAGAAGUAUCCUGGCAGUAGAACCAUGUCUGGUUCCAGUCCUUUGGGUGGCUUGGCGGCUCAGCAUAAGGAAAGAGGCAAUCUCUCCAUCGUUGGAUUGAAAUUCCGCCAAGUUCCAAGCUAGGCCCGUUGGCACACUCGUUCUGGCGGUUCAGAUAAAACAGCUCCCUAAAGAGCAGUAGGCUGGGCUCUUCUCCGAGAUAUACCUCACAGAAUACUUGAAAGUUACAAAUAUUCGACACGGAAUUGGGUCCAAUGUCUUGAGGUCGCAGAUCGAAAAAGUUCAGAACAUCUCUGAAGAAUUUUGAGCCAGGAGGAGCAAAGCCCUGGCUCAUGUGAUCAGCAAAUAUCACAACCUCUCCAUCUCUUGGUUGAGGUCUUUCUUCGGACGGGUCAGGGGCACGAUAGGACAUGACCUCCUUCUUAGGCAGGUAACCCGUCUUCACGAAAUCAUCUAAGGUAUUAUCAGUAACGUUGGAUCUCACGCAGUUGCACGUAAUGGGUGCCUUGGGAGCCUUGGGCGGCAUUGUGAAAGACGAAAUCCUAUGACAAAAGAAAAUGUCCGGUUCAAAUAUAAGCCGGAGGAAGAUUCCAGUUCAGUAUUCAAGAUGGCGGCUUAUGAAGGGGCCUAAUGAUAUAUGGCUAAUUGUCUCGGGUUAUCUAAGCCGCGGUGGAUGUCAUAAGUAAUUCAAAUUGUUUAAAACUCUAUCAUGAAUGAGCCGGAAAUUUCACAGCUCAUGGCCUCCUUUAAGCCGGCGAUAUGAGCCGCCAUAGCUAACAGAUGCAAUUUUUGACUAAGUGUGGCACAAACAGGUUUCACAGAUCGCAGUAAUUAUUUUGGAUCAAACGGUCGUCUAGAAAGGAAAAAAUUUCUAGACCUAAAAACUGGCGCAGAGAAGUUCGUAAGUUCUAAUGAGGCCUUUUUGCAAGCAAGAGGGAUCUGCUAGUACUGGAAAUGGGUGCGAAACCACUACCGCAGGAGUUUUAUCCUACUUUCCGGAUCAAAAGAGGCCGCGGUGGAAGAACUGUGAAGAACUCGGGAUGAACUACGAAGAACAAGGGAAGAACGACAGAACCCUAAUGCAAACCUACUAUAUGGAGUGGCAAGUACUUACUGGCGCUGAUGAGAUGCGGAGGUGGCCGCCGUUUCUCUGGACCAGUUCAGGGUGAUGCAGCGGCUGAGGUCGAGGAAGACAAGGGGCGCGGCGGCGGCGGCUGGAGCUCGGGCUCUGGAGCGUCAGAGGAGGAAGACGAUGGAGGAGAAGAGUGACGAAGGCUUAUGGGCCGGGCCUAUUUAUAAGGGACGGCUGAUAAAUGGGCGCGAGAAACGAGGAGGCCAAGACGCGAUUAUCUCGCUACAGAAACGCCUCGAUUUUCGGGAUGGUUAUUAAAGAUAAGAUCCGUUGGGAUAUGACGGAAUAAAAAAUGAAUUUAAUGGAAGAUGACGUCACGGCGGGUUACCAAGAGUCCAGAAGAUGACGUCACGGCGGGUUAUAACCUUUGCACAAGCAGAAGCCGGAAGAUUUUCUUUCAAAGGGAUUGAAGAUUAACAUGAACCGGUUCAAAUCAAUCUGGGGCCUAAUGUUGAGGAUAUAACCAUUAGAGUCACCCGCCCAGGAGGGGCCGGGUUACGUUAUAAUGAUCAUCACGUGAAGCCCAGUACCAGGCUAGAGGAUGGCGGAUCAAUAGUGGGCUUAAGACCCGGAGGCGGCUUAAGGCCCGUAGUGAUAAACCGCCGUUAUGACAAGACUUGUAAUGUAAGGCAAGAGUAGUUAAGAGUCCGAGCCGGAUACUGUUAUAAGCCGGCCGGGACUCUGAGAGCCGCGGGGCGUCAACCUCUCUAUAUAAAGGGACGACCCGGCGGCGGUUCAGGACGAGAGACAACAGAUCGAGAGCCGGGCAUAGCGAUUAAGCUCCCUGGUCAUCAAAACCCUAAGUAAUACCACCUCAACUGGACGUAGGCUUUUACCUUCACCGUAAGGGGCCGAACUAGCAUAACCCUCGUGUUCCUUGUCCCGUUUAACCCCUUUAAGCUUCCUAACUGCGAUGGCUCCACGACUAAGUCCUUGCACGAGGACAUCUGCCGUGACAAUUCCACGACAGUGAGAAUCAUCGUGUUGUUUUCCCAUCCGAAAAACAGAUUACUAGUACUGAGUGAAGUUUUAUGUUUGUACUGAGCGUUUUGUUUUUUCCAUUUCGAAAACAGAGUAGUUGAAAUGAUCUUUGUAUGUGUUUGUUAUGAACAUGUUUUCACAGAUGGGAUGUCAUUUUUUUAACUGUAUAAUAAAAUAGUGGACUUAUAUGUCCGGAUGUUUUGAACGGCCUCCGGUCAAGACAUGGACUAAUAGAACUGAUCCUUUUUUGGGAUUACAAUUUUAGAUUUGUUUUCUCGUCCAAACUGACGACACCAUCAGCUCCGAAUUUGCAUGGUUUAACUAGUUGAACUGAUGGAUGUUUUCUUCUUGUUUUGUUCAAACUCAAACAUUUUUUGCAGUGAAGGUAUGUACUUCCUUUUGUUUGCAACUUGAACAAUUUUCAUGAUUUUUAUAAUAAAUAUUUGUACUUCUUUUUGUUUUGUUCAAUGAAGAAAAUAGUGAUCAUUUGAACUAAUUGGACAAUAACAUGUGAGCUUACAGUAAUUUAUCACUCGAACUUGUAGCAAUAGAAAUAAGAAAUGUGUACGGCCUCCACACCAUUGCAUUGGUGUACUCCGGCGUGAGGAACAAAUCCUGCCAUAUUUGAUACAUACCCACGCAUCCUAGUUGACAUUUGUUCUGUGGAAUGUCGAUGACAUAUACUGAAGAACAUGAUGGCAGUACUGGAGUAGAUGGUCAGGUACUUGGUCAGCUUUGUCUGCAACAGCAGCCAGAAGGAGAAGCACGGGCAGUUGAACAGCAAAGCCAUGGUGCCCAGCAUCCAGCUCCUGUUGCCACUGCUGUCGGAGGGUGAUGCAUGGUGAGCAGCUGGGCAGCCUGGGCUAGGUGCAGUAGCGGCCUGGUGCGUCAGUGGCACACCCUUGUAGAGACUCAGCGGCAGCAAGCCGGCCAGCGACGUGAGCGUUCUGGUGAUCUUUGCGGCUCCCGCCAUGCUGUUCACCUUCAGCGGUUCCAUCCUCAUCACGACGGCGAUGAGGAAGGUGAGCACAGGAGAGAGGUUGAUGAAGGUUAUGGUGAAGGUGGCGGUGGUGUACUGCCGGCCAUAGAAGGUGUACUGCGAGAGCGCCGCGCCAAACACGGUGCUGAAGAAGAGGUACGCCAGGACCUCCAAUGUGAGCUUGGGCCUCGUGCUCCUGCAGGAAUGCCAUGGCGUUAUGCAGUUUUAGUCACCCAGGGAAUGAAUGCAGAUUGUAUGUACAAGGAUGCAUGUGUUUGCAUACCGUUCUUUGAAAAAGGCUAUUGGAGCAGAGAAGAUGGUGGCGACCAGCUGCCGGAGGGUGACGAGGACCAGGCGGUUCAGCCCUUGCUCCAGAGCCUUCUUCACCAGCGCCGUCAUCACAGCAGAGAUGAGGUCGAAGGCCAGCAUUCCCGUCACCGGCUUCCACUCCUGCACCCACAUUGUAAGAUUGCCGCUACAAGAUGACUGAUACGCUCAUUAACUGUCUGAUUAUAUAUAUAGCCCUGCAAUGCUACUCACUGACCAAAAGUGACGGCCGUCAUUCAUGCAAGGGGGGCAAAAAAGUAAAUGCUAAUAUGCUAUCAACAUAAUAAAUUAUUUCCUUUGCUACUCUUGUGACAACUUACUCGUACUACUGAAGAUUUUUUAUAAUAAUCUAUAAAAUGGCAUAUCAGUAGACAGUAGGAAUCAAAUUGGUAGUGCAAACGUGAAAGUAAAAUAUAUGUCCUGAUUCAGCCCCUUACCUUUUCUGGUGCCCCGACCAAAAUUACAUAAGAUGCCAAGAAAGUGGAUAAAAUACGGAAGCACUGAGACUGCAGAAACUCCUUUUAUGUAUGUGGACUAGUCGUCAAACUUCCUAACAUAAAGAAAACUUCCAAAAGAACCUGAUACUUGCCAUUAGUAAAAAAGGUGAGCUGGUAUAUGUCAACCAGCAAUGCUAUCCUUGAGUCAGCAAUACUAUGACAAGAUGCAGUGAAUUUCUCAACUCAAACACCACUACUGACCAUUCACCUUUGCGCUUGUUAGUGUGAUUUUGCUCCUGCCCAACUGUCAUUUUCAAUGGGAAAUUAGGUUUAGUUUUGCAUUCCAAUGAACGCAGUAAAACCCACCAACGAGUGUUUUCUGUAAUCAUUUGGUACACUGUUGAAUACCAGGCAAGGAAGGCAACCUCACCAGGCACCACGCUACCAGAAAGUAAAGUGCACAAAUAUGAAACAUUGCAUUCAAGGGUAAUUUUCAUCUACGGGAAAACUGGAACUUGCAUAUACACACUAAAGACUGUCAAAUUCCUUGAACUCAGGAAACUGGAAAAAAUGAGAAUUGAACUGAAUGAAAUUUAAAAAUUGUACUGAACUGAAAAAAGAAACUGGACAUCAUAGGUACAUCGAGAAAAUAGAUUGUAUGGAAGCACAAGAAGAUAUAUAGACUAAAAUAAGAAUUGAAAUGAAAUGAAUCUAGAAUAAGAUUUGGACUAAGCUAAAUUUAGAAAUUGAACUGGACUAGAAUUAGAAAUUGAACGGAACUAAAACAAGAAACUGGACUGAACAAAAAAUAAGAAUUAAAAUGAACUAAAAUAGGAAAAUUGAGCUGAACAAAAAUUAGAAAUUGAACGGAACUAAGAAACUGAAUUGAGACCACUGUGAACACAAAUAUUUAUUUUGCACAGUAAACUACAUGUCACAUUUAAGAGCAGCUUUUCUUUCCUGCCUUCCAACGUCAUGUAAGCAGUGAUUAUGACCUCUUGGAAACUUUUAUUUUGUUUAUACGCAUCAGGAGAGGGAAGUUUACAUAAUAAUUUUUUUCUGUGAACCUACAUCACUGACCCUGCUUGGACUGUUGGUGUUUUUGUCACUGCAAUUUAAUUUAGUUAUUCAGUAUAAUUUCACUAUUACAUUUUUUAGUGAAAUGUGAUUCAGAAACCACCCGAAGUAAAGUAACAUCUAUUUCAAAAUGGAUGGCUAUAGUUGAGACAGAAUUUAAGUUUCAGCAAUGCCCUUGCGGCAAAGCAAACUAAAAUGUAUCAUUUUCCUCAGGAUUUUGAACAUUAAAAGCAUAAUGCCCUAGAAGACAGCAUGAGAAUUAUUCAACAAAACACAGAAAAGUGAACAACAAAUUUUAUUUGAUUUCGCAAGUGAUAUGUAACUAGAGUAGCGAAGGUACCAAGCAAAUGCACAAUACUAUUGACUAACACGUGAAGUGGAUGCACGUGUGCCUUAAAGCGUAGGGUUGUACUGACACACUCAGCAUCAGGGGAUUUCCAAUUCGCACAAGAUCGAAGUGCACCAGUUCGUUAUGCGAAGGCCGGCUGCCUGGCUCGUCACCGUCGAACUGAACCCCGCGCCCCUGUUGAACUGCUGAAAUAUUUUAGUACGGGUUAGAUACAGUGCCAAACUAGUACCUGAAAAUCUCAUCCCCAAAUAUGCAUGUCAAUCUUCACAGUUGGAAGUAAUCUGAGCUAUCUCAAAACAUUGAACUGAUACAUACAUGCAAGAACGAAACCGGUACAAGCAAUACAAACAAUCAAUAUGAG